GGUUCCUUUCUUUCAUUUGCUUUAUGAACUUAUGGCUAUCUGUAAAGUUCUGUUUCCCUGUUCUGCUUUAUAGCUUCAUGUGCGGCAUGCUCUAAUGGAUGCCUACAACUACAUUUUAUUUAGGGAGAUCUCCUAUCUACUGCCUGCAUAUGAGCCUCAAUAUGUUUAUGUUGCUCCUCCACCAUUGUUUUCUAUACAAAGUAUAAUGGUAGACUGUCAGUUAUGGUGGCGUACUAGACAUACAUAAUACACUGAUUCAGUGCACUUUCCAUCUCAUGGUGCCACGUGCAUAGCCACUGAUUAUAUAUAUAUUUAGAAUAAAAAAAUGUGAUUAAAUGUUGCAACUCUGUUGAACUACAGACGUAGGGAUUUUGUAGGUAGGGUCAUCAUUCAUUAGAAAUGGUGGCAUUAGAUAAAAUUCUUGGUACAAGACUUGAGUUAUAUCAAAGUUUUCUUUUGCUGCUCGUAGUAAAAUGGUUGAUUGAGUGGAGCUUGUUCUGCAUCCAACGGAUCACAUCUUAAAUAUUUUUUAGACACAUUCAUAUGGCUGGAUUCUGAGAUAUCUGGUCUGCUGGCAUGGUUAAUGAAUAUGUCCAUCCACUCUUACAUAUAUAGUAGAGCUAGGAAGGCUGCAUUAAUUAUCUUCAAAUAUAAUGGCUUUAGUCUUGUUUUUAAUUUCUGCAGUGCAGCUUCAACACCAUGCUCGACAUCAACUCCCAACUUUUCAGUUGAUCUUUGUGCAUGUAAUCGAGUCACUUGUCUUUGUUCCAGUAAGCACUCCAGAUUGUUGCUUUACUAUUGAUAUGUACGCCUGCUUAUAUUUCUAGAUUUGUUUUACUUUUUGGUGGUCCUACGGAGGAUUUUCUUGUUAACAGUCUAUUGUUUCGUUUGCAGAUUAUGAUUGGUAUACUAUUUUUUCUGUUUGAGUUUUAUGACGAUCAGCUCUUGGCUUUCAUGGUCUUGAUCCUGGUGUGGUUAAGUGAAUUAUUUACACUAAUUAGGUCUCUCUCUCGCUCUCACUCUCUCUCUCUCUCACAUAGCACACACUGUAGAUAUCUCCUGUAAAAUGACAACUGAUUUUUUAUUAUAAAAUCAACUUAAUGUUAUUGAAAGAAAAUGAAAGAAUACGAGUGCUUGCAAAAAACAAACCUACAACAACCCCACUAGAGAGAGAGUUUCCACCUAAAUUGGAAUAAUGAUGAAUAUUAUUUACCGCCUCCAAGGAAAAAAAUAACACAUUUGGGGUGUUUGGCUCAACUUCAAGUGAAUGCUCCAUAUUUGGGACUUCAAUUAUAAUAGACGGUGUUUUCAAUUAUUAUAACCUACUAUUAACUACCGUAUUUCUGUUUCAAAUUUCUCUUUGUCAAGUGCUUACCAUUUCCUACCUGAAUUAAAAUAGUUUACGCCUUAAACACUAAUUAUUAUAAUUUAACCUACCAAGUUUUACAACUCAGGACUACAAUGACCAUGGACUAUAAUAACCAACUCAGUACCUAAAACACCCCUUUAUGUUUUAUGUGGAAUGCACAAUUGGAGAAACCUAUAGUGGUGUCGUAUGGAGUAAAUUAAAGAAUAUUAUUUUGGCUACAUUUUGUGGGUAGUCCACUAGAAAUUUCAUUAAAAGUUAAUAAUUAGAUUAGAUGUCAUUCAGAUAUAGUUAAAACAAAUAUGUAGGUGAAAGCUCCUCUAUUUGAUUUGGCCGCUUGGCUGUGGUGGACAAGGUUGGAAGGAUAAUCUCAUCGUGGAUUUUGCUCUUACAGCUUCAGGAGUACUUAGUCCAAAUUAAAAUAAGAUGAUAUUUUCCUUUUUGAGUUCCUAGGUUAAUAUAGUUUGACUUUAAGUAUAACUUGGAUGUUCAUUCAUCUGACGUGACAAAUGUUUGUAGUGGUAAGGCUGUGUAACCAAUUUUUUGUAUUCUUAUGCUAAGUUUUGAUAACAUAAUGUAAAAGUUUGCUUCUUGUAACUUAUUCAAUAAUUAGGUCUAUCAGUUCUGCAUCAUAGCUUAUAGUUGAAUCAGGGUUAUGCCAGCUGGGCACGAUAUAUAUAUGACGUACAUCUGUAGCUCUUAUAUAAUCUAAUGUAAUUGUUUGCAUUUCCUGCAGUGUACGGACUCCAAUAUCGAUGAAGUUUUUCCCCCGCUUUUUUCUGCUCUAUUUUUUGGUUUUUCAUAUUUAUUUCUUCUCGUAUGCUUACGGUAUGCCACUGAUCUAUCAAACCAUUGUGGGCUUCUAAGCUUACAGUUGACCAGAUCCUAAAUUUCAUCUGCACAAAAAUUUCAGGUUUUUCGUAUUUGGCUCUUUCUACAACUGCAGCCUUUAUGCAGCAUCUGAUUCUAUAUUUUUGGAACCGCUUUGAGGUGAAGUAUUUUGCAUCAUUUAAUUAAGUACGUUUACAUAAUUUUUUAAAAAAUGUACUAUAAUCAGUGUCUUAGAUUUGAACUUGUGUUUUAAUUCAACUAAGUUCUCAAAGUCAGCCUGGUCUGUUGUGUUAUUUCUCUUACACAUUUUUAUGUUCAGUUGAGGCAGAAGAUAUUCGUUGAUUUGUGAAAUUGGAUCUGUUGUAUACUGGUUUUCUGUACAUGAAUUGAGAGAGCCACAUUAGGAGUUCAUCCAUUUACAUUCUUCAAGUAAAGUUGAUCAAAUAUUUACAUAGUGCACUUGGCUUCUUUGUAUGACGUCUUGUCACUCUCUCGCACAUCGUUGCAUAUCACUACUCAUUUAAAACAUAAUUAACCAUCAUAUCCAAAUCACUACUCAUUUAAAACAUAAUUAACCAUCAUAUCCAAUACAGGUACCGGCUUUGCAGAGGUUCAUGCAAAACAGACGAUCUCAGAUACAUCAGCAUCCAGACUUCCACAUUACCUCUUCUACAAUUCUGGCCUCCACAUUGCAUAUCACAAGGUUAAACACCAGGAAUCCCAAUGGACAAAAUACAGAUCCAAACUUCGGACAAGAUUUAAGACCUGCGUCUGAAACCACGCACACUGAACCUGGAGGUAUGACUGGAGAAGUUCCCCAUCCUCUAGAGCAAACUGAAAACAAUAGUCUCGAUGGAGCUGGGGACAGAAUUCAAAUUCCAGGACAGCAUGAACUUGGGCAACCGAGGAAUGCGAAUUCUUUUAGUUCUCUGUUGUUUUGGAUCUUAGGGGGGGCUACAUCUGAAGGUAUUAACUCAUUGCGUUCGAUAUUCCGAGAAUCAAGGAGCAAUGGUCAAGUUUAUACAGGAUCACCUACUGAUGAAAACAACGGGAAUCAGAAUGUUCAAUAGUCUUGGAUUUUCAUGACUGAUAACUGAUCCAUAGGUGUUGAUUUUCCCCAACUGGUGUAUGUAAGUUGAAGAUUGAUUUGGCAACCGGGGAAGGAGACAGGGAAACAAUGGAGAAGAAUGGAUGAAAGGGUAGGUAGAAUGAUAUUUGAUCUAAUUGUCUUUGUUACGAUGCUGUCCUUCAGUUUUAUUUUUGUUUAUAGCAAUGGAAGAAAAAUCUACUUGAAGCCAUUGUGUUAGGAGGGGAUCUUGUUUUGUGUAUAGAAAAGAAGAAAAAUGUUUAUGGGUACUUCCACAACUUGUUGAAAUAUGGUAAAAGAUGAAGGAAACGCUUUUUCUAUCAACUUUGAUCUUUUGUCAAAUGAAUGCAUGUCUUUGGUAUUAUUAUUAUUAUUAUUAUUAUAAACUUUAGUGGAAACUUUGUCCUUUUAUUUCUUUUCAUUUGCUGAUUACACUGUUUAUAUUCUGUCUCUUUUUUUAUUUUUUAAAAUUAUAAUACUUUUCUUAAAAGUAAAAAGAUAUUUCUUUUUAGUUUUGAAAUGAUUUAGGACUAUUUUACUCUUUUUUUCCUUUUUUUCCUCUUAUUUUUCCUCACUCUGUACUUUCAUUCUUCCUUGCGAUUCCUCACUCCUUCCCUCUCACUAUUUCUCACUCAUCUUCCUUUCUCUAUUUCUCACUCCAUCUAUGUCACUAUUCUUUAUUCUCUCAUUUCAUUACAAUCUAAUAAUUCAAAUACAAACUAUAAUAACUCACAACUAGAUUGUAAUCCAUAUGUUUUAAACGUCUCUUUGAUAUUUGAAAAGACAUCACUACAAACUUUCUAUACAAACUUUCUAUACAAGCUAGAUUCACGAUUGGAAUAAAAUUAUUUCCAAAAAAGAAAUGUGGUAAUGUCAGGUGUUUAUCAAACUUGGAAAAUCAUAUUCACUGACACAAUAAUGUGUAUGCUUCAUCUAAUGUGAUAUCUGUCUCAAAAAAAAACUAUAAAAUAUGAUAUUUAAUUAAUAGGUUAGAGGGUAUUUUUAGUUUCAAUCAGCUAUAUGUAUAUAUAUAAUGGCAGUAUCAGACCCCACCCACAAAUUCUGGAGAACCUUUUGGUGAAGACCCAAUUCCGAAAACAUCACAGAUUUAUUUAUUUAUUACUAUUAUCUUUAAUUAAACUUAAUUACUUGUGUUUUUCUCCUUCUUAAGAUGAGUUAAAUAGUCUGAACUUUAAAGAGGUGAUUUAGUGUUUUGAUGCUUUAAGCUAUACUCACGUAUGCAUGUGGAAUUAAUCUAUUUCAAGAUGUCAUGCACAAUACACGAUUUAAAGUACAAUUAUAAAAUUCUUGUGUGUGGUUUUUUAAUUUUUUUGAAAUGUUCUUCAACAAGAGAACAAAUCAACAAACAAGCGGACUUCAAUAGACAACAAUAAAAUUUCUGGAAAAGACUAAAACUUUUAGGGGAAAAACCUUCUCUUUUAUUCCUAGAAAAAGGAAACAACCUUUUAUACAUGAUGUUGUUCCUCCGUUCUGCGCGUCAGCCGCCCUCGUUCGCGUCGGUUUUCCCCUGUUCGUCCGAUCGAGUCGCCCACCUGAGCCAUCUAGUCAGUUCCUCCUCGCGUGAAGCUUCUGUCUUGAUUCCAUACGAGCUGACCCAUCACUUCCCGAGUCGUUUCAGCCGCGCUCCUUCCCUUCUGGUCGAGGAACCAACUAGUUUCCUGCUGUAGCCAUUUGAGUCAUUUGUGGUCAAGAGUUUUGAUUGGGUGUUGGCUCGAAAAUAAAUUUAAAACUUUGCAUUGAAAAUGGAGUUUUUAAGGCUCAAUUCGCUAAUUUGGAGAAUUAAUCAAGUUUUUUUUUUUUAAUUUUGCAUUUAAAUUGGAGUUUUUUUCUUGAAGUUCAAUUGACUAAUAUGGAGAAUAAAUCAAGGUUGAAACACCUCUAGAUAGGUUAAUUUAGGAAAUUUUGAGGCAGUAGCCAAUUGUUAAUUUUAUUUGUCAGGUG
rnacentral:lncRNA from 1 species